AGCUACAGGCUUAACACAUGCAAGUCGAGGGGCAUCAGGAAGAAAGCUUGCUUUCUUUGCUGGCGACCGGCGCACGGGUGAGUAACACGUAUCCAACCUGCCCUUUACUCGGGGAUAGCCUUUCGAAAGAAAGAUUAAUACCCGAUGGCAUAAUGAUUCCGCAUGGUUUCAUUAUUAAAGGAUUCCGGUAAAGGAUGGGGAUGCGUUCCAUUAGGUUGUUGGUGAGGUAACGGCUCACCAAGCCUUCGAUGGAUAGGGGUUCUGAGAGGAAGGUCCCCCACAUUGGAACUGAGACACGGUCCAAACUCCUACGGGAGGCAGCAGUGAGGAAUAUUGGUCAAUGGGCGCUAGCCUGAACCAGCCAAGUAGCGUGAAGGAUGAAGGCUCUAUGGGUCGUAAACUUCUUUUAUAUAAGAAUAAAGUGCAGUAUGUAUACUGUUUUGUAUGUAUUAUAUGAAUAAGGAUCGGCUAACUCCGUGCCAGCAGCCGCGGUAAUACGGAGGAUCCGAGCGUUAUCCGGAUUUAUUGGGUUUAAAGGGAGCGUAGGUGGACUGGUAAGUCAGUUGUGAAAGUUUGCGGCUCAACCGUAAAAUUGCAGUUGAUACUGUCAGUCUUGAGUACAGUAGAGGUGGGCGGAAUUCGUGGUGUAGCGGUGAAAUGCUUAGAUAUCACGAAGAACUCCGAUUGCGAAGGCAGCUCACUGGACUGCAACUGACACUGAUGCUCGAAAGUGUGGGUAUCAAACAGGAUUAGAUACCCUGGUAGUCCACACAGUAAACGAUGAAUACUCGCUGUUUGCGAUAUACAGUAAGCGGCCAAGCGAAAGCAUUAAGUAUUCCACCUGGGGAGUACGCCGGCAACGGUGAAACUCAAAGGAAUUGACGGGGGCCCGCACAAGCGGAGGAACAUGUGGUUUAAUUCGAUGAUACGCGAGGAACCUUACCCGGGCUUAAAUUGCAGUGGAAUGAUGUGGAAACAUGUCAGUGAGCAAUCACCGCUGUGAAGGUGCUGCAUGGUUGUCGUCAGCUCGUGCCGUGAGGUGUCGGCUUAAGUGCCAUAACGAGCGCAACCCUUAUCUUCAGUUACUAACAGGUCAUGCUGAGGACUCUAGAGAGACUGCCGUCGUAAGAUGUGAGGAAGGUGGGGAUGACGUCAAAUCAGCACGGCCCUUACGUCCGGGGCUACACACGUGUUACAAUGGGGGGUACAGAAGGCAGCUAGCGGGUAAAAGUGGGGUAAUCCCAAAAUCCUCUCUCAGUUCGGAUCGAAGUCUGCAACCCGACUUCGUGAAGCUGGAUUCGCUAGUAAUCGCGCAUCAGCCACGGCGCGGUGAAUACGUUCCCGGGCCUUGUACACACCGCCCGUCAAGCCAUGGGAGCCGGGGGUACCUGAAGUACGUAACCGCAAGGAUCGUCCUAGGGUAAAACUGGUGACUGGGGCUAAG
rnacentral:rRNA from 1 species